UGAGGAACAUGACUUUCGGCGGGGGAUAGCCGGCCCAACGGCCGGGUAAUACCGCGUACGACCCAAUGGAGACAUCUCCGCUGGGUGAAAGCAGCAAUGCACCGAAAGAGUGCCUCGCGGCCUAUCAGCUAGUUGGUGGGGUAACGGCUCACCAAGGCGACGACGGGUAGCCGGCCUGAGAGGGUGACCGGCCACACUGGGACUGAGACACGGCCUAGACUCCUACGGGAGCAG
rnacentral:rRNA from 1 species